AGUCAACGAGUCCUCCCAGCUCAUUGCAUCAUAUAAGAAAACGCAAAUAUCAACAACACAAAAAGCGUUCAUCACGUACACAACUCUUCUUUUUUGGGCUCCCCUCCUUUCGCCUGUCGUCAUUGUCGCUGUCCUUUCAACACCACCAUUAGACCCCGUCGACAUCGCCAACGUCCGGAGAGUUUUCUGCUUCUUUCUCACUCUUGUUUCGCCCCACGUCUAUGGUCGUCGAUUUCAUUUCUCUGCGCCUCUCUUAGUACAACUCUUUUCACGCCCCUCUGGCACAGGGUCGGUCGAAGUCUCCCUCCCGUUUUCGUAAUUCUCUUGCUUUCGCCAUACACACAGCGGCCGUGGUUCUCUUUCAUCGCUGCUGUUUGGUGUUCCGCUUUUCGCCUUCCUGCCUUUGUGUGCGUGUGUGUGGUUGGCGUUCUGGUCGAUUUGACUGCAGUUUUUUUUUUUUUUUCAUUUAUAUUUCAGUGUGUGUGUGUGUGCUCCUUCACAUACACCCCUCCUUUCUUCUUCUGCAUAUGUGCCUUGUUGUCGCGUGUGUGUGUUGCUCUCUGUACCCGUAGCGCUGGACGCUUCUUUUUUUUUUUCGACCUCCUUUGUUUUUCGUGUUUUUUUUUCUUCAUUAGCUCCAGCUCCAUACGGCGUUUGUGCAUCGUGUUUCUCAUCUCCUCCGUUGCUUUCCGUGCUUUCCAUUCUUUUCCCUCUUCCUCCUCCACCGCUCUUUAGACACCAUCGUCAGUGAAGAACCGCACAGCUCGUACGCGAGAUCGAAACGAGAACGGCAAGAUCCAAGAAAAGGGAAAGCGGAAAGGCAAGCUUGGAUUGCGUGCACAGGAACUCGACUCAGGGCAUCCGUUCCCUGCUCACUCCUUUCAAGCUCUACUUCUCCGUUUUUUUUUUCCCACUUUACCGGCUUUGCUCGUCUUGUUUUCUCUCCAGUCCCCGACCCUCUUGUGUGCCGCUUCUUUUCGUCACAGCUGCCGAUUCUUUGCCAAUCACCAACCUCGCCGAAGGCGUAGUAAAGAAAUAAAAACACACAAACACGCCGAAGUCUUUAUGCCAGCCAUGACAGAGCUGCGUAGCAAGAGCUCCAAUGCCCUUGCGGAUGUUGAAGACCGGCCAUUUUUCGUGGCCACCUUUCAGCGCACCGCCAGCCGCUGCGGUACUUCAGAUAAAGAUGAUGAUAUGCCGUCGAACUUGAUCACCUCGCGCUCCAAUGUGCCUGGUAUGACACCACAGGAGCUCCUGGCAGCACACCGCAUGUCCCUCGCCGAGAUAUCGAAGCGGGCAGAUCCCGAUCUGCACAGCCUCACCCUCAGUCGCCAUCAGGUGGAGCAGGGGGAUAUUUGUCACGCUUCGCUAGGCGACAUCUCAGACGAAGCGUACCACGACGCGUUGGAGAGCUUCCGAUUUCGUCCUGUCGAGGACUGAGAGCGAUAAUCGUCUUCUCUUUUUCUGCUUCGUUGCUGCUGCGCACUGAUGUUGCUUGCUUGCAUUUUGGUGUGAGACGACUGCGGUGCUCCGGCGAUCUAGAGUGGAUCGCACCGUCUGCAGUCGGGGGGAGGGGGAGGGAAAGAGUGCGCUCAAAAACGAGGGCGAGUCGAGAGAAGUAGACAUACACAUCCUCAACACUCGUUUCCGUCGUCCUUUGCGUCCCUUUUCCAUACUCCUGCUUUUCCUUUUUUCUCCCCCCGCUUCUCCUGUUCAG
rnacentral:misc_RNA from 1 species